GGCAGGGCGACGGUGGCUCAGUAGGAAGAGUAGUCGUCUUGCAAUCAGAAGGUUGUGGUUGUGGUUCAAUUCCAGCUUCCUCCUGCCA